AUGGCGCGCGUCGCCGCCUCUAGGCUCGCCGCCGUCGUNNNNNNNNNNNNNNNNNAGCUCGAGGUGUUCUCCCGCCAUCUCCCCGCCGCCUCGUCGGCGUGGGGCACCCCGUCGCGGCUUCUCGAUCCAGCGAGGGAGAGAAGGAGCCCGAGUUGGUGGUGUCCGAGCAGGUCGUUCCAUGCCACAGUGAGGGUGAAUGCAAGGGAUUACUAUGGUGUGCUCGGAGUGAGCUCGGAUGCUUCUGCAUCAGACAUAAAGAAGGCAUAUUAUGGGCUUGCAAAGAAGUUCCACCCUGAUACUAAUAAAGAUGAUUCUGGCGCAGAAAAGAAAUUCCAAGAAGUUAACCGGGCCUAUGAGGUUUUGAAGGAUGAUGAUAAGCGCGAAACAUAUGAUCAGCUUGGAGUUGAAGCUUAUGAGCGCCUAGCAUCAGGGGGUGGCCCAGAUGGUUCCCCUGAUAGCGGUGGGGACUUUGCUGGUGAUAAUCCAUUUAGUGAUAUUUUUACCGAUAUCUUUGACAGAGGAGGCCAAGAUGUCCAGGUUCCUGUUGAAUUGUCAUUCAUGGAAGCUGUCCAAGGAUGCAGAAAAACUAUUACAUACGAGGCUGAUGUUCUCUGUGGGACCUGCAAUGGAAGUGGCGUUCCACCUGGCACUAUACCUCAAACAUGUAAAGCUUGUAGAGGUGCUGGUGUGACAUUCAUCCAGAGGGGUAUGUUGAGUUUUGAAUCUACUUGUUCUCGGUGCGGUGGAAGCGGAAAAAUUGUGAAGAAUUUUUGCAAGACAUGUAAGGGCCAACAGCUUGUCAAGGGAAAAAAAUCAGUCAAGCUUGACAUAAUGGCUGGAAUUGAUGACAAUGAGACUAUAAAGGUUCGUGGUCAGGGUGGUGCAGAUGCGGAGCGCAAUAAACCUGGUGACCUUCUUUUGACUAUCAAGGUCAGAGAGGAUCCUAUCUUCCGUAGAGAAGGCAACCAUGUGCAUGUUGAUGCUGUUCUAAGCAUGGCCCAGGCUGUGCUAGGUGGGACUGUUACAAUACCUACCCUCACCGGAAAUGUUUCAGUCAAGGUUCGCCAAGGUACGCAACCAGGAGAGAAGGUUGUCCUACGGGGCAAAGGAAUAAAGGCGAAGAAUUCGUCAUCGUACGGGAACCAUUAUGUUCACUUCAACAUCAGAGUCCCAACGGAGCUGACACCACGGCAACGGGAGCUGAUGGAGGAGUUUGAUAAAGAGGAGAGCAACGACGUGGCGAGAGUUGCGGCUGCAUCUGGAUGA
rnacentral:rRNA from 1 species